GGGGGCAUAGCUCAAGUGGUAGAGUACAUGCUUAGCAUACACAGGGUUUUGGGUUCAAUCCCCAGUACCUCUA
rfam:Camelus ferus unplaced genomic scaffold scaffold1428, whole genome shotgun sequence.